UCUCGGAUAGCAGUAGCUAAGGUAAUUGCUUAGCUAGCUUAAUAUCCGUAAUCAUGACUGAAAGGUCAAUUGAUCACAGUGUGGCCUGAACAAAGCCCACAGUUUUACUACAGCAGUGGGGAAUCUUGGUCAAUAGCCUAACGGCUGAACCAGCAACUUGGAGGAAUGUAUAGCGAAAGCUAGUUGCAUUAAAUUCGAUUAAUUCGAAUUUAAUGCAUCCUCGACUAUGUCGAAUAAAGUUCUAGGUAGAGUUAUGAUAAUGACAUUUUCUAUCUAUAUGUCUUGACCAAAUCACGUGCCAGCGGUCGCGGUAAUACGUGGGAGACUAGUGUUAUUCAUCUUUAAUAGGUUUAAAGGGUACUUAGACGGUAAAUUAAGCCCAGAUAAAAAAAAGGGUACUAAUUAUACUAGAGUUUGAUAAGAGGGGGGUAAGAACUAGUGGUGUAGAGAUGAAAUUCUGUCAUACCAUUAUGACAGGCAACGGCGAAAGCAACCUUUAUGUAAAGACUGACGUUAAAGGACGAAGGCUUUGUGUCACCAACAGGAUUAGAUACCCAAGCAGUCUUAGCAGACAAUUCUGAAUGCCAUAGAUAAGAAAAAUAUAUAUAUAUGUUAAAGUAAAAAUUAAUGUGAAAAUAAAAAUGCAUUUAUUUUAAAAAAAAAAAAAUUAAUGCAAAAAAAUGCAUUUGGAAUGCAUCCAAAAAGAGGGCAAAGGCUCUUUUGGAAUGCAYUCCAAAUGUAGGGCAAAAGGCUCU
rnacentral:rRNA from 1 species